GUUUCAUAAGAACCUCAAAUGUAGAGAAAGGCCUUGAAAGCCACUGAUCUAGACAGGAAAUCCAAAGGCCUGACCCGAAUGGCCAUGGCUGGCCGGAGAGAGGUUAUAGAUGACCAGAGAACAGCCAUGAGCUGAAAUAGAAUAAGGCUUGGACCAAGCUCUUUUAAGAUGGGACCUUGAGACCAUAAGAACAAACGUACAGAAGCCAUGAGAGGCUGGUACAUGUUUCAAAUAACCAUAGGAGGCCAUAGAUUAAGGAGGUAUCAUGGUUGAAACUUAAUGGCGGCUGCUAGGGUUUGUAAGAAUCUGAGAGGGAAUUAAUAGAGAAAGGGAUUCAAGGGUGGUUGUAGGGAAGAAAUGAUUUAGGUUUAGGGGUUAGUUUGGAUUAAAA
rnacentral:lncRNA from 1 species